rnacentral:rRNA from 1 species
ACACUCCUAUGGGAGGCAGCAGUGGGGAAUCUUGCGCAAUGGGCGAAAGCCUGACGCAGCCAUGCCGCGUGAAUGAUGAAGGUCUUAGGAUUGUAAAAUUCUUUCACCGGGGACGAUAAUGACGGUACCCGGAGAAGAAGCCCCGGCUAACUUCGUGCCAGCAGCCGCGGUAAUACGAAGGGGGCUAGCGUUGCUCGGAAUUACUGGGCGUAAAGGGAGCGUAGGCGGACAUUUAAGUCAGGGGUGAAAUCCCGGGGCUCAACCUCGGAAUUGCCUUUGAUACUGGGUGUCUUGAGUAUGAGAGAGGUGUGUGGAACUCCGAGUGUAGAGGUGAAAUUCGUAGAUAUUCGGAAGAACACCAGUGGCGAAGGCGACACACUGGCUCAUUACUGACGCUGAGGCUCGAAAGCGUGGGGAGCAAACAGGAUUAGAUACCCCUGUAGUCCC